rnacentral:rRNA from 1 species
CGCAGCCGCGGUAAUUCCAGCUCCAAUAGCGUAUAUUAAAGUUGUUGCAGUUAAAAAGCUCGUAGUUGAAUUUCGGGAUCAAUGUUUCGGUCAUGCCCUUGGUAUGUACUGAUAUUAUUGGUUUCUCACCUUCUAAAGAACCGUAAUGCCAUUAAUUUGGUGUCACGGGGAAUUAGGACUGUUACCUUGAAAAAAUUAGAGUGUUUAAAGCAAGCUAACGCUUGAAUACAUUAGCAUGGAAUAAUGAAAUAGGACGUUCGAUCCUAUUUUGUUGGUUUCUAGGAUUGACGUAAUGAUUAAUAGGGAUAGUUGGGGGCAUUAGUAUUCAAUUGUCAGAGGUGAAAUUCUUGGAUUUAUUGAAGACUAACUACUGCGAAAGCAUUUGCCAAGGAUGUUUUCAUUAAUCAAGAACGAAAGUUAGGGGAUCGAAGACGAUCAGAUACCGUCGUAGUCUUAACCAUAAACUAUGCCGACUAGGGAUCGGAUGAUGUUAAUUUUUUAAUGACUCA